rnacentral:rRNA from 1 species
UACGUAGGUGGCAAGCGUUGUCCGGAAUUAUUGGGCGUAAAGCGCGCGCAGGUGGUUUCUUAAGUCUGAUGUGAAAGCCCACGGCUCAACCGUGGAGGGUCAUUGGAAACUGAGAAACUUGAGUGCAGGAGAGGAGAGUAGAAUUCCUAGUGUAGCGGUGAAAUGCGUAGAUAUUAGGAGGAAUACCAGUUGCGAAGGCGGCUCUCUGGACUGUAACUGACACUGAGGCACGAAAGCGUGGGGAGCAAACAGG